rnacentral:rRNA from 1 species
GUGUCAGCAGCCGCGGUAAUACGGAGGAGGCAAGCGUUAUCCGGAAUUAUUGGGCGUAAAGCGUCCGCAGGCGGCUUAUCAAGUCUGCUGUCAAAGACUGGGGCUCAACCCUGGGAAGGCAGUGGAAACUGAGAAGCUAGAGUGCAGUAGGGGUAGAGGGAAUUCCCAGUGUAGCGGUGAAAUGCGUAGAGAUUGGGAAGAACACCGGUGGCGAAAGCGCUCUACUGGGCUGCAACUGACGCUGAGGGACGAAAGCUAGGGGAGCGAAAGGGAUUAGAUACCCCUGUAGUCCUAGCCGUAAACGAUGGGUACUAGGCGUAGCUUGUAUCGACCCGAGCUGUGCCGAAGGUAACACGUUAAGUACCCCGCCUGGGGAGUACGCACGCAAGUGUGAAACUCAAAUGAAUUGACGGGG